rnacentral:rRNA from 1 species
AAAUUGAAGAGUUUGAUCAUGGCUCAGAUUGAACGCUGGCGGCAGGCCUAACACAUGCAAGUCGAACGGUAGCACAGAGAGCUUGCUCUCGGGUGACGAGUGGCGGACGGGUGAGUAAUGUCUGGGAAACUGCCUGAUGGAGGGGGAUAACUACUGGAAACGGUGGCUAAUACCGCAUAACGUCGCGAGACCAAAGAGGGGGACCUUCGGGCCUCUUGCCAUCAGAUGUGCCCAGAUGGGAUUAGCUUGUUGGUGAGGUAACGGCUCACCAAGGCGACGAUCCCUAGCUGGUCUGAGAGGAUGACCAGCCACACUGGAACUGAGACACGGUCCAGACUCCUACGGGAGGCAGCAGUGGGGAAUAUUGCACAAUGGGCGCAAGCCUGAUGCAGCCAUGCCGCGUGUAUGAAGAAGGCCUUCGGGUUGUAAAGUACUUUCAGCGGGGAGGAAGGUGUUGUGGUUAAUAACCGCAGCAAUUGACGUUACCCGCAGAAGAAGCACCGGCUAACUCCGUGCCAGCAGCCGCGGUAAUACGGAGGGUGCAAGCGUUAAUCGGAAUUACUGGGCGUAAAGCGCACGCAGGCGGUCUGUCAAGUCGGAUGUGAAAU